rnacentral:rRNA from 1 species
UACGGAGGGUGCAAGCGUUAUCCGGAUUCACUGGGUUUAAAGUGUGCGUAGGAGGGCAGGUAAGUCAGUGGUGAAAUCUUCGAGCUUAACUCGGAAACUGCCGUUGAUACUAUCUGUCUUGAAUACCGUGGAGAUGAGCGGAAUAUGUCAUGUAGCGGUGAAAUGCUUAGAUAUGACAUAGAACACCAAUUGCGAAGGCAGCUCGUUACACGAAUAUUGACUCUGAGGCACGAAAGCGUGGGGAUCAAACAGG